rnacentral:misc_RNA from 1 species
UCGUAACAAAAUGUGCUAGGCAUGCUUCCGGCUGUCGCUGACUCGAAAGGUCGUGCACGCGGGAGCGUGUCCUCUCACAUAACACAAUCCAUCUCACCCUUUGUGCACCACCGCGUGGGCCCCCUUUGGGGGGCUCGCGUUUUUCACACAAACUUGAAGUAGUGUAGAAUGUCCUUUUUUGCGAUAACACGCAAUCAAUA